rnacentral:rRNA from 1 species
UACGUAGGGUGCAAGCGUUAAUCGGAAUUACUGGGCGUAAAGCGUGCGCAGGCGGUUAUGCAAGACAGAUGUGAAAUCCCCGGGCUUAACCUGGGAACUGCAUUUGUGACUGCAUAGCUGGAGUACGGUAGAGGGGGAUGGAAUUCCGCGUGUAGCAGUGAAAUGCGUAGAUAUGCGGAGGAACACCGAUGGCGAAGGCAGUCCCCUGGACCUGUACUGACGCUGAUACGCGAAAGCGUGGGGAGCAAACAGG